rnacentral:lncRNA from 1 species
AGACACAGAGGCCAGUCUGGCUUCCUUCCCACCACACACCAGCCAUGGCCAAAGGCCCAGUCGGUAUCAGCCUCAGCCCUGGCUCUGGAGUGAGGAUGGUGCUGACCUGCGUGGCCUGACUGGCAAGCACGCAGAAAAAGGCACCAAUGAAGUAGAAGACCCUGGAGUAGGCAUGUCCAGAUGGCAUCACUUGGUUAGAGAUGUGCCACAGUAUCUUCACGUCCUCAAGAUUGUUGGCAUUUUUGCUCAGGCCCCUGUCACAGGCACGCAGCAGCAUGAUGUUUUUGGGAGUGGAAAUGAAGACAGUUUUAUAAGAAAGCAACUUUCUCUUGUGAGAACACAGCUGGCUCUUCAGCCAUGAGUUCUAGUUUGAAUCUGCCAGCCCUUCCCAUCUGUUUGACAUUCCACAGCUUUGUGGGUGGAGACCAGGCAUUUUUGAGUGGAGUGUCCCCCACCCCUAACCUGGAACUUGGUGCAACAUUGGAAGGUAAAGGUGGAGUUUCCAAGAGAACAGCAUUGAAGGAGGGCUGGGAAAGCACAAGACAGGAAGAGUCUGUGCCAAAAGACCCUGGAUAGGAAGAAACACAAGAAAAAAUUUAUCCAAAGUCAAGAUUGAGUGGGAGCCCAGAGGAACGUUGCAUUCAAAUGACAAAGAAUAUGAAGCCGAUAGGGAUAAAGUGAGUAACCCAAGGUCACAAGACAAGAGAGCUGGUCCAGGACAAGAACUUGGUGCUCAUGUCAGGUUCUCUCUGCCACAUCUUGAGAAUACGUGCAUCCUUUGCCUUUUAAGACUCCAUCAGCCUCGAAGUUCAUUUGUGUGGCACUAAAAGUAAACCAAAAGCAGGAAGCUAAGGAUCUUUCACCUCUAAUGCACCCUGACCUUGGCUAUUUCAUGUCAGGGUCUGUGCAGUCUAAGCCCAGGCAGCCAACAUGCUUGGAGGAUACUUCAUGUAGUGGUACCUACAGCUCUUUCCAGAAGGCCAUGAAAAUCGAAUUACAUGGUGGGCUUGACUGAGACCAAUGUCUGAGACUUGUCCUUCUGAAGAAGUGGAUGUCUGCUGCCCACUUGUGAGAAUUGCUUGCAGCCAAACGUAAGGCCGUGGGCCCAGUUAGGCACCAGAGGGCUCAUCAGCUCAUUGUCGCCCACUUUAGUCUGCCGAGAUCCCACCCACUUGAUCUUGUCGGGAGAGAAGGCUGGUUCUUCCUCAGUCACCAGGGGCCAACGUCACCCUUGCAGAGUAUGUGAGCACCAAG